GACGAGCGCUGGCGGCGUGCCUAAUACAUGCAAGUCGAACGAACUCUGGUUUUUGAUUGACGGUGCUUGCACCUGAUUGAUUAAACAUUUGAGUGAGUGGCGAACUGGUGAGUAACACGUAGGAAACCUGCCCAGAAGCGGGGGAUAACACCUGGAAACAGAUGCUAAUACCGCAUAACAACUUGAACCGCAUGGUUCGAGUUUGAAAGAUGUCUCUGCUAUCACUUCUGGAUGGUCCUGCGGCGUAUUAGCUAGAUGGUGAGGUAACGGCUCACCAUGGCAAUGAUACGUAGCCGACCUGAGAGGGUAAUCGGCCACAUUGGGACUGAGACACGGCCCAAACUCCUACGGGAGGCAGCAGUAGGGAAUCUUCCACAAUGGACGAAAGUCUGAUGGAGCAACGCCGCGUGAGUGAAGAAGGGUUUCGGCUCGUAAAACUCUGUUGUUAGAGAAGAACAUAUCUGAGAGUAACUGUUCAGGUAUUGACGGUAUCUAACCAGAAAGCCACGGCUAACUACGUGCCAGCAGCCGCAGUAA
rnacentral:rRNA from 1 species